rnacentral:rRNA from 1 species
UACGGAGGGUGCAAGCGUUAUCCGGAUUUACUGGGUUUAAAGGGUGUGUAGGCGGGCAGUUAAGUCAGUGGUGAAAUCUCCGGGCUCAACCCGGAAACUGCCAUUGAUACUAUCUGUCUUGAAUAUCGUUGAGGUAGGCGGAAUAUGUCAUGUAGCGGUGAAAUGCAUAGAUAUGACAUAGAACACCAAUUGCGAAGGCAGCUUGCUAAACGAUGAUUGAUGCUGAGGCACGAAAGCGUGGGGAUCAAACAGG